AACUUUCAGCAACGGAUCUCUUGGCUCUCGCAUCGAUGAAGAACGCAGCGAAAUGCGAUAAGUAAUGUGAAUUGCAGAAUUCAGUGAAUCAUCGAAUCUUUGAACGCACCUUGCGCUCCUUGGUAUUCCGAGGAGCAUGCCUGUU
rnacentral:rRNA from 11 species